rnacentral:lncRNA from 1 species
CCUCCCCCAGCCUCCCCACCACCACAGAGUGGCAGGAGGGCCCCCAUGGUCCUGAGCCCUUCUCCCCAAGCCACAGAGCAGUCCCAGAGACGGGAGCGGGCUCCCUGGUGCCACACAGCUGAGGGGCUGUGGCCAGUGGACAGGCUGGAGUGGCCAAACCCCUCUCAGGCCUCAGGGCCCAGCGCCCAGAAUCUCUGGCAAAGGAGGAAGGAUGAGGGAGAGGUCGUGCUUGACAAGUUCCCGUAAGAAGCUGGUGCAGACCUGGCCGCAGGCAGAGGCUUGGAGGAAGGACCCAGGAAGGGCUGGCUGCACAGGCGUAAGACACCUGCAGACACCUGCCUGGGAAGGAAAGAGGAAGCCUCAGGUGGACAGAGAAGGUGGGGGCAGAUUCUGCAGGACUGGAGAUGGACCCAGGGAUCUGCUUCUGUCAGGGUCAGGGAAAUGCAGGCUGCCCACAACCUGAGAGAGCCCAGAGGCGGACUCUUCCCUGGUUGAGCCUGCAGAUGAGAACUCAGUCCAGUACUGCCAGCUGCAGCCAGGUGAAGUGGAUUCCUCCCCAGCUGAGCCUGCAGAUGAGAACACAGCCCAGCACUGCAGCUGCAACAAGGUGGGAUCCUGCAUGGAGGACCCAGCUGAGCCAAGGCCAGAAUUCAGACCCACAGAG